rnacentral:rRNA from 1 species
GAUGAACGCUGGCGGCGUGCCUAAUACAUGCAAGUCGAGCGAACGGACGAGAAGCUUGCUUUUCUGAUGUUAGCGGCGGACGGGUGAGUAACACGUGGAUAACCUACCUAUAAGACUGGGAUAACUUCGGGAAACCGGAGCUAAUACCGGAUAAUAUUUUGAACCGCAUGGUUCAAAAGUGAAAGACGGUCUUGCUGUCACUUAUAGAUGGAUCCGCGCUGCAUUAGCUAGUUGGUAAGGUAACGGCUUACCAAGGCAACGAUGCAUAGCCGACCUGAGAGGGUGAACGGCAACACUGGAACUGAGAAACGGUCCAGACUCCUACGGGAGGAAGCAGUAGGGAAUCUUCCGCAAUGGGCGAAAGCCUGACGGAGCAACGCCGCGUGAGUGAUGAAGGUCGUCGGAUCGUAAAACUCUGUUAUUAGGGAAGAACAUAUGUGUAAGGAACUGUGCACAUCGUGACGGUACCUAAUCAGAAAGCCACGGCUAACUACGUG